UACGAAGGGGGCUAGCGUUGCUCGGAAUCACUGGGCGUAAAGGGUGCGUAGGCGGGUCUUUAAGUCGGGUGUGAAAACUCCAGGCUCAACCUGGAGACGCCACCUGAUACUGCUGUGGCUAGAGUCCGGUAGGGGAGCAUGGAAUUCCUGGUGUAGCGGUGAAAUGCGCAGAUAUCAGGAGGAACACCAGUGGCGAAGGCGGUGCUCUGGGCCGGAACUGACGCUGAGGAGCGAAAGCGUGGGGAGCAAACAGG
rnacentral:rRNA from 1 species